CUGGCUCAGGACGAACGCUGGCGGCGUGCCUAACACAUGCAAGUCGAACGGAGAUACUUUGAAGCUUGCGAUAAAGUAUCUUAGUGGCGGACGGGUGAGUAACGCGUGGGUAAUCUGCCCAUAAGUGGGGAACAACAGUUGGAAACGACUGCUAAUACCGCAUAAUCUGCCUUAGGGUAGGAAAGGUGGCCUCUUAACAAUGCUGCCGCUUAUGGAUGAGCCCGCGUCUGAUUAGCUAGUUGGUGGGGUAAAGGCCUACCAAGGCGACGAUCAGUAGCCGGCCUGAGAGGGUGAACGGCCACACUGGGACUGAGACACGGCCCAGACUCCUACGGGAGGCAGCAGUGGGGAAUAUUGCGCAAUGGGGGAAACCCUGACGCAGCGACGCCGCCGUGAGCGAAGAAGGCCUUAGGGUUGUAAAGCUCUGUUUUAGGGGACGAAUGUUCAUAGGAGUAAUAUGCCUGUGAAAUGACGGUACCCUAAGAGGAAGCCCCGGCUAACUACGUGCCAGCCGCCGC
rnacentral:rRNA from 1 species